UACGUAGGCAGCAAGCGUUGUUCGGAGUUACUGGGCGUAAAGGGUGUGUAGGCGGCUUCGUAAGUUCGGUGUGAAAUCUCCUGGCUUAACUGGGAGGGUGCGCCGAAAACUGCGGAGCUGGAGCGCAGGAGAGGAAAGCAGAAUUCCUGGUGUAGCGGUGAAAUGCGCAGAUAUCAGGAGGAACACCGGUGGCGAAGGCGGGUCUCUGGGCCGAUACUGACGCUGAGGAGCGAAAGCGUGGGGAGCGAACAGG
rnacentral:rRNA from 1 species